rnacentral:rRNA from 1 species
AGUGAACGCUGGCGGCAGGCCUAACACAUGCAAGUCGAGCGGAAGAACGGAGCUUGCUUCCGGAUACGGCGGCGGAGUGGCGGGUAAUGCCGAGGAACCUCCCUAUCUAUUUUUUAGAAGGGGCGAAAGCGGGGGCAAAUACCCCAUUAGUCCUUAGGAACAAAGUGUGAAAGCUUGGGAUCUUAGGCUAUCGGAUGAUCGUAGGUGGGAUUAGCUAGUUGGUGGGGUAAAGGCCUACCAAGGCGACGAUCCGUAACUGGUCUGAGAGGAUGAUCAGUCACACUGGAACUGAGACACGGUCCAGACUCCUACGGGAGGCAGCAGUGGGGAAUAUUGGACAAAGGGCGCAAGCCUGAUCCAGCCAUGCCGCGUGUGUGAAGAAGGUCUUCGGAUUGUAAAGCCCUUUAAGUUGGGAAGAAAAGCAGUAAGUUAAUACCUUGCUGUUUUGACGUUACCCAAAGAAUAAGCACCGGCUAACUUCGUG